GACGAACGCUGGCGGCGUGCUUAACACAUGCAAGUCGAACGGAAAGGCCCUGCUUUUGUGGGGUGCUCGAGUGGCGAACGGGUGAGUAACACGUGAGUAACCUGCCCUUGACUUUGGGAUAACUUCAGGAAACUGGGGCUAAUACCGGAUAGGAGCUCCUGCUGCAUGGUGGGGGUUGGAAAGUUUCGGCGGUUGGGGAUGGACUCGCGGCUUAUCAGCUUGUUGGUGGGGUAGUGGCUUACCAAGGCUUUGACGGGUAGCCGGCCUGAGAGGGUGACCGGCCACAUUGGGACUGAGAUACGGCCCAGACUCGUACGGGAGGCAGCAGUGGGGAAUAUUGCACACUGCGCGGCAGCCUGAUGCAGCCCCGCCGCGUGCGGGAUGACGGCCUUCGGGUUGUAAUCCGCUUUCGCCUGUGACGAAGCGUGAGUGACGGUAAUGGGUAAAGAAGCACCGGCUAACUACGUG
rnacentral:rRNA from 1 species